UAACAACUCGUUCCUGGCACAACGUUAACUAAUCACGUGAUGAAGUCCAUCCCGCACGGUAGGAGCAGUGUUAGAAGUGCGCAUGUGCUUUGGAAGGAGCGGUUGCGUAAAGCGCAUGCUCAGUGACGUUCCCAUCGUGAAGGCGGACGGAGAACAUGAUAGCGACGGGCAUAUGUCUUUUGAGGGGUGAGGACAGUGACAGUUCAGUCCGCGGAACGGUCACCUUCGAAUGGGAUACAUUUAUAUCAAAUGGAAAUAAUGAUGUUUCCGCUGCCAGCUAUUACUUGUGAAGGCUGAUCUUUAAUUGGAGUUAGAGCCCGACGGGGAGUCGACAUAACGGUCUCGGAAUGUUUUUGGGGCGCAUGUACGAUGUAAGGGUGACGGCUCCACAUCACGUGCCCCAUCAAUUGGCGCCAAAUGUUUGUGCACGUGAAAUUCUGCAGUUAUCUGUUUAAAUAAUACUCUUCAUCUAAAUGUGAAGCCACUUUUACAUUUUCUCACAUUAUAUUCUAUCUGCCAGAUUUUUUGUUUAUUCACUCAACUAAUAGUUAGGAACCUCAAUACUUCAAAACAAAACUUUCUCACCUAUUGGAUGUCUUGUUUUUCUCAUUUAAGUUAUUGAUGUUAAUUGCAAAAAGUUGAGGCCAUAGCACGGAUUCCUGUAGGGCUGCACUUGCCACAUUCUAUCAAUCAGACAAAGACACGUUUUGGUUAACUCUUUUUCUGCCAGCAGCCAGUCUUCUAUUCAUACUAAUAUGUUACCCACGAUGUAAUGAGUUUCUAUUUUCCAAAAUAAACUUUGACAU